GUGGGGAAUAUUGGGCAAUGGGCGAAAGCCUGACCCAGCAACGCCGCGUGAAGGAAGAAGGUCUUCGGAUCGUAAACUUCUAUCCUUGGUGAAGAUAAUGACGGUAGCCGAGAAGGAAGCCCCGGCUAACUACGUGCCAGCAGCCGCGGUAAUACGUAGGGGGCAAGCGUUGUCCGGAAUGAUUGGGCGUAAAGGGCGCGUAGGCGGACUGGUAAGUCUGGGGUGAAAGUCCUGCUUUUAAGGUGGGAAUUGCUUUGGAUACUGUCGGGCUUGAGUGCAGGAUAGGUAAGUGGAAUUCCCGGUGUAGCGGUGAGAUGCGUAGAGAUCGGGAGGAACACCAGUGGCGAAGGCGACUUACUGGACUGUAACUGACGCUGAGGCGCGAAAGUGUGGGGAGCAAACAGGAUUAGAUACCCUGGUAGUCC
rnacentral:rRNA from 1 species